ACUUCCGGCUGCUCCGCCCCGCGCGCCCCGGCCCCGCGGGAGCCCCUGAAGAUGAGGCUCUCCGUGUGUGAUGUCUCUAGGUGCCUAGAGACACACGUGUGUCGGUGCUUUUGAAUAUUUUUGCAUGCUUCUAGCAACCUACCAAGAUGGAAACAAGCUUAAAGAACUUAAAGUAUCCGGGCCGGUACUGCUGAGGCCCAGAAACUCAGAAUUCCCUCAGUUCCACCGCCUGCAGGAUUUGAGGUCCCCGGACAGAUAUUAAGUGUUACAAUUGGAGAAGAAUCAGAAAUAUUACCGAAUUAGAAACAUGAAGCUACACUUGUAAUAGACUUCAGAGAUCAUUUGGGUCUGUCACUGAGAAUCAGAAACUCCAGGAUUAAGGUGACCAACAGUAUGCUGAAAAGUCAGGACUGAGCAGGUAGCUCACUGUUGAGUGAGGGAGACCUUGCUGUAUAUCCCAGACUGUCCUCAAACUCAUCUCCCAGGGGGCAAGGAUUAAAGGAAUGUGUCAUCAUACCUAGCAUUUCAAAGAUGCUUAAAUGGUCCAGAAAUGUAGUGGCAGUUCAUCCUUAUAUCUCUCCAUUCUUUUUCUCCCCCUUUUGGAUACCUAAGGAAUCAUAAUUGACCAGGACAAUAAAGUUUAUACCUGUUGUUA